CGUGUAGGCGGUUUGCCAAGUCUGAUGUGAAAGCCCCGGGCUCAACCUGGGAAGUGCAUUGGAAACUGGCAAACUUGAGUACGGGAGAGGGAAGUGGAAUUUCGAGUGUAGGGGUGAAAUCCGUAGAUAUUCGAAGGAACACCAGUGGCGAAGGCGGCUUCCUGGACCGAUACUGACGCUGAGACGCGAAAGCGUGGGGAGCAAACAGGAUUAGAUACCCUGGUAGUCC
rnacentral:rRNA from 1 species